UGUACAGGUAGAAAGUAAUAAGGAUUUGGUU
rnacentral:piRNA from 1 species